UUACAAGGUCACAGAAGCUCAGAGAGUCCUGGGAGAGAAGCAGAUGUGGUUUCCAAUCCCACUUUCCAGAAGAGGAGACUGAGGCAGAGGACAUGUGAGGACAGGUGAAGGUCAUGAUCAUUGUCAGCCCCCUGCCCCAGCUGGACAUUCCCAGAUCUGGUGGACUUCCAGCCAGAGGAGACAGAAGGACUGGAUCACUCAACUCUGCCAUGGGUGCCAGGACCCAAUUUUUCCCUGGCUAACUCGGUCACCUCCUGUCUGGGAUCUCCAACUACUACCCAUCCCACAAGUCUCAGCUAAAACAGCAAUUCAACGGGGAACUUUUUUCUGAGGCUCCAAGAUUGGGCCAGGCCCUCUCCAUGGCUCUCUGCCCUUCCCCUACUGCAGAACGUAGCACCUGUAUGUCACUACUGGUUCAAACAUGUGUCUUUCGUAUGCUCUCCACGUUAUCUGCAGCAUCUGUCAAGAAUAAUAAUGAAUGGUAAAACCUAAUCUCUAUUGAGUGUCGAUGAUGCACUUUUAAUGUGACAUCUUAUUUAAUCCUCACUAU
rnacentral:lncRNA from 10 species